rnacentral:tRNA from 1 species
GCUUGACCUCGGGCAGGCCCAGCCUGGCGUCGGCGGUGCCGACGCGGGCAUGCGCGGCCAGCGCCAGUUCCAGGCCGCCGCCCAGCGCCA